CCUACGGGAGGCAGCAGUGAGGAAUAUUGGUCAAUGGUCGGGAGACUGAACCAGCCAAGCCGCGUGAGGGAUGAAGGUACAGAGUAUCGUAAACCUCUUUUGUCAGGGAACAAAGGCGGUGACGUGUCCCCGGAUGAGUGUACCUGAAGAAAAAGCAUCGGCUAACUCCGUGCCAGCCGCCGCGGUAAUACGGCGGAUGCGAUCGUUAUCCGGAUUUAUUGGGUUUAAAGGGGGCGCAGACGGACUGUAAAGUGAGCGGGAAAAGCCCGGGGCUCAACCCCGGCCCGCCGUUGAAACUGGCAGUCGCGAGUUGGAGAGAAGUAUGCGGAAUGCGCGGUGUAGCGGUGAAAUGCAUAGAUAUCGCGCAGAACUCCGAUUGCGAAGGCAGCAUGCCGGCUCCACACUGACGCUGAGGCACGAAAGCGUGGGUAUCGAACAGGAUUAGAUACCCCUGUAGUC
rnacentral:rRNA from 1 species